CACAUUAGUAAUUAAAUAAUAACCACAAACUAUAAACUAAGUAACUAUUCCCCAAAUCACCACCAUCAUUUUUCUUAACCUCACAAUAACUAAUCAAUAAUAUUAAAAAAUUGGAGACCACAAUACUUUAAAAUAUAUAACAAAUUGUCAAAAAUAAAAGCCAUAUAUAUCAUAUAGCAUGGCACAAGCUUAAAAAAACUCAAGUGUUGCAUAAUGGUCGAUCAAGCAAAAAAAACAAAAAAAAAUAAAGUCAGAAUAUGUGAAGCCUGGGGGCAAAAGUAAAGAGUGAUCACCGGUGCACAAGGCACGAACAAAGAGCGGCUCCUAUAGUGCUUUGAAGCGGAGGGGUACAUGAACGAACCAACAAACACAUCAGAAAGAAAGGGAUUAUGGAAAUAUGUAGGCAUGAGACUGCAUAUUCUAUGAGAGCUUAAAUGAUUUGAUAGGUGCUACUCAUAUCAACAAGAUACAUUUUCUUUUCUAGUGAUCACGUGGAAGAAAC
rnacentral:lncRNA from 1 species